UACGGAGGGUGCAAGCGUUAUCCGGAUUCACUGGGUUUAAAGGGUGCGUAGGUGGGUUGAUAAGUCAGUGGUGAAAUCCCCGAGCUUAACUUGGGAACUGCCAUUGAUACUAUUGAUCUUGAAUACCGUGGAGGUCAGCGGAAUAUGUCAUGUAGCGGUGAAAUGCUUAGAUAUGACAUAGAACACCAAUUGCGAAGGCAGCUCGCUACACAUAUAUUGACUCUGAGGCACGAAAGCGUGGGGAUCAAACAGG
rnacentral:rRNA from 1 species